AUUGAACGCUGGCGGCAUGCCUUACACAUGCAAGUCGAACGGCAGCACGGGUGCUUGCACCUGGUGGCGAGUGGCGAACGGGUGAGUAAUACAUCGGAACGUACCUUAUCGUGGGGGAUAACGCAGCGAAAGCCUUGCUAAUACCGCAUCCGCCCUGAGGGGGAAAGCGGGGGAUCGCAAGACCUCUCCCGAUUAGAUCCGCCGAUGCCUGAUUAGCUCGUUGGUGGGGUAAAAGCCCACCAAGGCGACGAUCAGUAGCUGGUCUGAGAGGACGAUCAUCCACACUGGGACUGAGACACGGCCCAGACUCCUACGGGAGGCAGCAGUGGGGAAUUUUGGACAAUGGGGGCAACCCUGAUCCAGCAAUGCCGCGUGAGUGAAGAAGGCCUUCGGGUUGUAAAGCUCUUUUGUCAGGGAAGAAACACCGGCUCUAACACAGUCUGGGGAUGACGGUACCUGAAGAAUAAGCACCGGCUAACUACGUGCCAGCCGCCGCAGUAA
rnacentral:rRNA from 1 species